UUGAACGCUGGCGGCAUGCCUUACACAUGCAAGUCGAACGGUAACAGGUCUUCGGAUGCUGACGAGUGGCGAACGGGUGAGUAAUACAUCGGAACGUGCCUAGUAGUGGGGGAUAACUACUCGAAAGAGUAGCUAAUACCGCAUGAGAUCUACGGAUGAAAGCAGGGGACCUUCGGGCCUUGUGCUACUAGAGCGGCCGAUGGCAGAUUAGGUAGUUGGUGGGAUAAAAGCUUACCAAGCCGACGAUCUGUAGCUGGUCUGAGAGGACGACCAGCCACACUGGGACUGAGACACGGCCCAGACUCCUACGGGAGGCAGCAGUGGGGAAUUUUGGACAAUGGGCGAAAGCCUGGUCCAGCAAUGCCGCGUGCAGGAUGAAGGCCUUCGGGUUGUAAACUGCUUUUGUACGGAACGAAAAAGCUCCUUCUAAUACAGGGGGCCCAUGACGGUGCCGUAAGAAUAAGCACCGGCUAACUACGUGCCAGCAGCCGCGGUAAAAC
rnacentral:rRNA from 1 species